GAGUGAAGAGGGAAGAGCUCAUCAUUGGAAUCUGGCGGUGUUGCACCGUCCGAGUUGUAGAUGAGGAGUGGUUCAUCUGGACUGCAUGGCGUCCAAGUACAAUAGGCCGUCAGUGGGACAUCAUAGAGGGUGACAAUCCCGUCCUUGAUGCCAAUGUGCAAGUCCAUUACGAUGGCCAUCUCAGAGAGUCGAGCAGUUUGGGAUUUGCUGCUUAAACAUGGGAGGUAGAUUCCUUCUAAAGCUAAAUACAGGCAAGAGACCGAUAGAGAACAAGUACCGCAAGGGAAAGAUGAAAUAGCACUCUGUGAAGGGAGUCAAAAGGCGUGAAAUUGUUGCGAGAGAAGCGAUUCAAGUCAGCGUAGCUAGGCCCAUUAAGCCUCUUUGCGCUUUGGACUAGCUUUGCCAGCGGUCUUGUCCUUAGAGACUUGACUUGUAUGUCCAGCCUGGUAUGCACAGGUAGCCCUCCGGGGUCAGUGACAUGGCUGGUGGAAUGGCUUGCAAUCGACCCGUCUUGAAACACGGACCAAGGAGUCUAACAUGUAUGCGAGUAUAAGGGUGGCAAACCCGUAUGCGCAAUGAAAGUGAUUUUCGGUGAUUGAGAAUGGCCUGACGACCAGACAAGCAAUAUAUGUCCCUCGKACGGCCAUUGCCCAAGUUCCGUGGUAGAUCCCACGAACAUGGAGUUGGAGCAUACAUGCUAGGACCCGAAAGAUGGUGAACUAUGCCUGGACAAAGCGAAGCCAAAGGAAACUCUGGUGGAGGCUUGUAGCGAUUCUGACGUGCAAAUCGAUCGU
rnacentral:rRNA from 1 species